rnacentral:lncRNA from 10 species
ACACAGGCUGGAGUGCAAUGGCACGAUAUCAGCUCACUGAAGCCUCCACCUCCUGGGCUCAAGCACUCCUCCCACCUCAGCCCCCCAGGUAGCUGAGACUACAGGAAUGGAUAAAGCACGGAGAGGAACCAAGAAUGUGCUCAGAAAAAAAUCCUUCCUCACUGAAACCAGGACUAAGGAAAGGAGAUUCCCUUCUACCAUCCAUGGACUCAGGCUGACGGAGCACGCUGCCUGUCUGUGUCUCUCCGUUUCUCUCUCUGGAACGUUGUCAGAUGUCACGGCGGAGGGAAAAGAGACCUGGAAUGACUUGCCGAAUUUUUAGCCCAUAACCAGGCACUGUGUAAACCGCUUUACCUCAUUCAGUCUUUGCAAUUAUACCACAAGGUCACACUGUUUAGAAGGAGAAAGAAGAGCUCGCUGUGAAAAACGCUCCACAAUGCUGCAGAGCCUUGUGAAGGUGGAAGAGUACUCUCAUCAGCAAACGGCAUUCCUUCCAUGGAAAAUGUCAUUGGGAGGAAAGCAGGGACAAACUACAAGGCAUUCGAUGCUCAACAAAUACUUGUGCUGAUAACUUCUCUUUCUGAAGCCAGCUCCAGGAGAGGUCUGUAAUCAGAAGAGCCCCUGAACCCUGAAGCCUCCUGGGCUGCCCAGCCCAGGCAUCUCCUCUCCUCACUCUGGGAAGGAGGUGGUCUUCUGGCAAAAGAAGAUAUCAAAGUUCUUCCAUCAGAGGAGAUCCUUAUCAGCAAGACAUUCACUCUGAGAAGCCACGGUCCCUGUCAUUGUGCUGAGAGUCUUUU